AUGUCUUUGGCCUCCAAAUUUUUUUGAAUUUGUAGGUGUGGGUGCAAUUGUGGCCAGUUCUUUUGCUUAGAAAGUUACCACAUGGGUAUUGUUAUACCUUUCCUUUUUCUUUUGGGAUUAACGAGUGAAAUCAUUCCAGAACAACAAAAGCAAAGGUAGCCUGGUUUUAAGCCUGAAAAAGAAAAGGUUACUAAUUUUUCUACAAUCUGCUGAGGAGCUACUUUAAGACUAGUUACAAAAGAGACUCACACAUAGGUUGCAAACCUUACAUUAGAAAUUGGAAAAGAUGUGAAACAGAAACACGCCAGAAUUCCCCAUUUCAUGCCAAAUUCUGGGAGCUGUUGGUUUCCUUGCAAUUUCAUUUGCGAGUGAUCAAGCGAAAUUCUUUUAGCUGUAGGUUCCCUUGCAAUUUCAUUUUCAAGUGAUCAGUUCCCUUGAUCAUGUCCUUUAAGUCAGCAGCAAUCAUUUGCACUAGAUUGUGACUCACCACUUCUUUAUAUUUUUCUUUUUCUGAAAUCUUCUGAUUCCUUUAUCUCCAAUUAUUUACAUUUUGUAAGCAUGCAAAGAUAAUGUCAAACUAUAGAAGUUAAAGAUUUGUUGCACAGAUGAGCUUUUGCCUACCUGAAUUUUUCAUUCUAAUCACCAGAUACCUCAUCUGAUUUGAUUGCUUUAUUGGGAUGUUAUUGAUGAUUAUUUGCAGAUGCUGCAAUAACUUCAACAGUGAUACAUCUUAGAUUCCAGCUAUGUGGUUAAUUUUAUCACUGGCUUGCUAGCGUUGAUAA